GAAAGCGUUCCAUAGGGAUGCUGGCCCAUGUUGACUCUACAAGGUGUUGAAAACGUUCCACAGGGAUGCUGGUCCAUGUUGACUCUACAAGGUGUUGAAAGCGUUUCACAGGGAUGCUGGUCCAUGUUGACUCUACAAGGUGUUGAAAGCGUUCCACAGGGAUGCUGGUCCAUGUUGACUCUACAAGGUGUUGAAAGUGUUCCACAGGGAUGCUGGUCCAUGUUGACUCUACAAGGUGUUGAAAGCGUUUCACAGGGAUGCUGGUCCAUGUUGACUCUACAAGGUGUUGAAAGCGUUCCACAGGGAUGCUGGUCCAUGUUGACUCUACAAGGUGUUGAAAGUGUUCCACAGGGAUGCUGGUCCAUGUUGACUCUACAAGGUGUUGAAAGCGUUUCACAGGGAUGCUGGUCCAUGUUGACUCUACAAGGUGUUGAAAGCGUUCCACAGGGAUGCUGGCCCAUGUUGACUCUACAAGGUGUUGAAAGUGUUCCACAGGGAUGCUGGUCCAUGUUGACUCUACAAGGUGUUGAAAGCGUUUCACAGGGAUGCUGGUCCAUGUUGACUCUACAAGGUGUUGAAAGCGUUCCACAGGGAUGCUGGCCCAUGUUGACUCUACAAGGUGUUGAAAGCGUUCCACAGGGAUGCUGGUCCAUGUUGGCUCUACAAGGUGUUGAAAGCGUUCCACAGGGAUGCUGGUCCAUGUUGGCUCUACAAGGUGUUGAAAGCGUUCCACAGGGAUGCUGGUCCAUGUUGGCUCUACAAGGUGUUGAAAGCGUUCCACAGGGAUGCUGGUCCAUGUUGACUCCAAUGCUUCUCACAGUUGUGUCAAGUUGGCUGGA